rnacentral:rRNA from 1 species
UACGGGGGGGGUAAGCGUUGUUCGGAAUUACUGGGCGUAAAGGGCUCGUAGGCGGCCAACUAAGUCACACGUGAAAUCCCUCGGCUCAACCGGGGAACUGCGUGUGAGACUGGAUGGCUUGAGUUUGGGAGAGGAAUGCGGAAUUCCAGGUGUAGCGGUGAAAUGCGUAGAUAUCUGGAGGAACACCGGUGGCGAAGGCGGCAUUCUGGACCAACACUGACGCUGAGGAGCGAAAGCCAGGGGAGCAAACGGG